CCUGUACUUUCGAAGCAAGGCAGUACUCGGCUUACCGGUUUCGACUACCUCCUACUCCCGGCAUGCGGUUAGUACAAUUCAAACUCGAUCACAGGACCAGACAACGAACGGUCCUUAACCGACACAAACGGGGCUAACCUUUCCCCGCACGGUCUCCGAAUUCUUUUCCUUUCUUACAUAUUCCAAUAUUCCAUACAUUCAAAAUAAUGAGAUAUCCUAUAUCUCGCAAGUGACCAGAAUCCACUCGACUUCUACCGAGAUCUAUUAUGCAUAGUAUUUCUAUCAUCCUAUACAUGCUAGUACAACUCAAGGGAACCUAGGGAUCAUGCAACUAGGGUUUCAAACAAUUCCUAAACCUAAUGCAUGAGUAAUAGAGACAUAUAUAGGUGUCAUAAUUUGAAAUAACAGGACAUGCACCGGGGCUUACCUUGAGUCUGCUGCUCAGCACUAGGGUCAGCUGGGCCUUGGGCUGCCUCCUCACGAACCUCCUGCUGUGGGGCUUGCCCCUACGACUCCUGUGGCUCCGCAACCACCUCGUAUACCACCUCCUCCGCGGCGGCUGCUACACGUGUGCAUAUGCACAUGACAUGAGAAUGCAUGCAUGAUUUACAAAAGUUAUAAGUAUUCAAUAUCCCAAUUACAUAUCGGUCCCACCGACCGGUCAGACCGGUCCCAUAUGACUCCUAACAUGCUACCGGUCAGACCGGUCCCUUCCAACCGGUCAGAUCGGUCCUACUCAGACCAAGAGCUAGAAUUCAUGGCGCGGUGAAAAUCGCCCACCAAAACCAAAACUCUCCUAGGAACUAGUUCAGGGGUGCAUUUGGACGUGUUUGACCAGACGGAACCACCUAAAAUCACCUAGAACGGGAGAUCGACCAUCACACGCUAAAAUACCUUGGAUGAGCUUUUCCUCCGCGAAGAACUUGAAUCCACGUCACCCCGGGAAGGAGCACCUGGAGAGGAUGAUCCUCGACCCUGAUUUGAAGCUCCCCAAGCCUUAAAAUGGAGUUUGGAAUGAGGGAUUAGGGAGUGAGGGUUUUGGGAGAGGAGAGCUCGGGGAAAGAGGGAGUUGGUGUGGUGAAGAUGAGUGAAUUGGUGAGGGAGAGAGAGAGAGUGGUUUAAAUGAUGUGGAGCCCAAAAACGGUUGGCCCAGGUUCAACCGGUCAGACCGGUUGCUCCGACCGGUCAGACCGGUCCGGCCCAGACUAACAAGAAAUUUUGCUAUCUUAUGGUCUGUGGCUUAAAUUUAAAACUAAUGGCCUUGAUUAAACUUAAUUAGGGUUGAUUAACACCUGGGUGUUACAAUCGCUUCCUGAUUCCUCUCUUCGCUACCCUCCUCCGUUGGACCUUGGUCCUCGCCUCUCUUCGCUCGCCUUCGUCUUCGCUGUUUGGACCUUGGUCUUCGACGGUCUUCGUUUGCCUUCGUCUUCGCUAUUUGGACCUUGGUCUUCGCCUCUCUUCGCUUGAAGCCCGAGGCCCUUCGCUCGCUCGGGAUGCUGAGCCGGCAGAAGACCUUGUCAUUGGACCCGAAAUGGUCCGCGGGCUUUCGGUCGAUGGCCAAAGGUGGCGUCCCCAACAGUGAUGCAGCACUAUACCAGCUAUUGCAGAGUUGAUCUUGGAUAAGAAGGAGGAGGAGAAGAAGUUGAGGGAGUUUAGGUGGGAGGAGGAGAAAAAAAUGAAGGAGGAUAGGUGGAAGGAGACAAAGAUGAUUCAACAGCAAAAGAUAUCAUUGGAAAAAGACAAAUUGAUAUCAUUGGAAAAAGGCAAACUGAUGUGGGAACAAGAACAGAAAAAUCAUGUUCUGUGAUGUGAGUACCAUGGAUCCGGAUCAGAAGACACAUGUGUUGACAAUGAGAGCACAAAUUGCAGCACAACAGAUGGAUGCCUUCAAUGCUAGGUUUGGUGGUGGGUUUAGCGUUUCUAGUGGUGGAACAGGAGGUGAUGCCGAUGGUGCAGCCAUUUAAUUUAUGCUUGGUGGUCAUUCCGCUUGACUGCGAUCAGUAACUCCUCCAGAAGUAGAACAAACCCGUUAGAGAAACACGAAAUACUUUCAGGUGGUUUCAGUUGAUAACCAUGAGUUUUGGUCCAUGGACUUUGUUUACCACGACAGUGCUGUGAAGAAUCUGCAGGAAGCACUUUUGGAGUCUCAUAGUUUGUGUGCUAGUGAUGCCCAUAGAUUGGUAGUAGCAUGUCAUAUAAACUAUAGUUGUAUUAUACUUGGUUUCGACUGCUGUCCAGAUUCAGUUGGAUAGGUAUUGGCUCUGCA